rnacentral:sRNA from 1 species
AUGUCCUACGCGUCCACUGCGGUUCUAUGCGAGCCGUCCGCACCCACCUGGCGACUGCUCGCUGGGUUGUGGUAGCC